UAAACAAAAGGAGGGAAGGGGAAGGGAAGGUAUAUGAAAAAAGGAAGGAAAGAGAAGAAAAGAAGGAAAGAAAGAAGAAAAGUGGGAAGGGGAAGGGAAGGUGUAGGUAGGUAGGUAGGUAGGUAGGAAGGAAGGAAGGAAGGAAGGAAGGAAGGAAGGAAGGAAGGAAGGGAUAUCAGAGAAGAAAGGUAGGAAAUAAACAAAAGGAGGGAAGGGGAAGGGAAGGUGUAUGAAAAAAGGAAGGAAAGAAAGAAGAAAAGAAGGAAAGAAAGAAGAAAAGUGGGAAGGGGAAGGGAAGGUGUAGGUAGGUAGGUAGGUAGGAAGGAAGGAAGGAAGGAAGGGAUAUCAGAGAAGAAAGGUAGGAAAUAAACAAAAGGAGGGAAGGGGAAGGGAAGGUGUAGGAAGGAAGGAAGGAAGGAAGGAAGGA